ACGAGUAACUCGAAGAACAGACCUUAUUUAUUAAUGCCAGCAGAAUAUACCACACUAGUGCAUGAUGUUGACAUUUUUUUAGUUCUCCUUCAUAUUCUUUGGAAAAGAAUUACCUGUCCUUUGACAUGUUCUUUGCUUGCAACAAAAAAACCAUUUACUUGUAUAUUUACUAGAAGCAGGAAACAUUAUUAAACAUUUUUAUAUAUAAUCCUAUAUUUGUGAUUAUUUUGUGCAGUUGUGAUUUAAUGGAUAUGAAUUCUUGUGCUUUUUAUGAAUCGCCAAACGAUCGAAUGAAUUUAGAUUUGGGAUGGCCAAACGUAAAAAUAUUUCAAAAGCAGCAAAGUCGGAGGUGUAAGACUUUAACAUCAAUGUCGAGCGAUAUGCGAAAAUCGGAAUAUUUAUUGUCAACAAAAAUUAUUUGAUCAAACAGCUAUUCAUGGUUUCCCAAUAUUUAUAUUGGGGCUACUGCAAUCUCAUUCCUAAGAGAAGUGCAACUGGAAUGAAGUUGGCUCGGGCGUUGCUGUUCGGAUUUUCUAAAAUGUGAUUGAAAGUACUCAAAUGGUCCUUGCACGGAUAUAUUAAUAUUUAUUAACUAAUUGGUUAUUAUCUCAUUUGUCGAAUUUGAUUUACAGAUUAAAUAAAAAAGUGAUCUACACUUAAAUACUAAAUGCUGUGUAGUUAACAAGAUCAGUGCAAACAGAUUCUCAAUAAUGUUCGGAGUGGUUUUCGAUAAAUGUGAAUGCGGCCAGUAGGUAUAUCUGGGAAGAUAACGACACAGAACGAUGUCAAAGAAACAAGAAGAGAAAACUGAAGGUGUAAAUGUUAAAAAAAUUUUUUUUUUGGAUUGAUUAAACACAUGUACACAUUGCAGAUACAAUCUACAAACCUAACGUAGAAAACAAGAAAAUCAAGGAAAUAACGGAAAUUUCUAAUUCUUAUGAGAAUCGCCCAAAUGUAUUUUUAAAAAGUAUGAAACUAUCGAUAUAUAAUGGAAACUAAAGAUGGUCAAUCAAAAAUUAGCAACUGUUUAUUUUAUGUAUGCAUAUAUAUUGACUAAAGCAAUUUAUCGAAAGUCUACAAAAUAUGUAAAAACUAAUUUGAAUUGAAAAAAUAUUAUAUUCGAUAUUAUUUUACAAAAUUCAUGAAGUACUUAGUGUGAUUUAAAUUCGACAAAAGUAUGUAUAAGAUUAAAUUUUAAUUUAUAAAAAAGUUUGCCAAAAUGUUGGGACAGUAUUUAUACCUUUCACAUGGAUAAUGCAGCUGUCCAUUAUCUGGAUAACUAUGCAAAAGUUUUAAUAUAAAGAAAAUUGUAAUUAUCAUGAAAAUAGCUACCAUAACGAAAUAUUAAGAUAAUGAAUAAGUAUUAUCAUAAGCUAACAGCUAAGGUAACUAUUACUGAAGAACUUUUUCUUGUUACAAAUUAGAACUAUAAACAUUUUGCCCUAACUUAUUAUUUAUUAGUAAACUAUUUUAUUUUAACACAUUUUUUUUUAAUUUAAUGAUCAGAUUCAAUUGCAUUC